AUCUAUCUAUCUAUCUGUCUAUGCACCCUAAGCAACUGCAUAGCAACACCCUAGCAACCACCCAGAAUACCCUAGCAACCAUAUAGGAACACACUAGCAACCACUCAGAAUACCCUAGCAACCGCAUAGGAACAUACUAGCAACCACCUAGAAUACCCUAGCAACCACAUAGGAACAUACUAGCAACCACUCAGAAUACCCUAGCAACCGUAUAGGAACAUACUAGCAACCACCUAGAAUACCCUAGCAACCACAUAGGAACAUACUAGCAACCACUCAGAAUACCCUAGCAACUGCAUAGGAACACACUAGCAACCACUCAGAAUACCCUAGCAACCGCAUAGGAACACACUAGCAACCACUCAGAAUACCCUAGCAACCGUAUAGGAACACACUAGCAACCACUCAGAAUACCCUAGCAACCGCAUAGGAACAUACUAGCAACCACUCAGAAUACCC